AUUGAACGCUGGCGGCAGGCCUAACACAUGCAAGUCGAACGAGUGGCUGACGGGUGAGUAAUGUCUGGGAAACUGCCCGAUGGAGGGGGAUAACUACUGGAAACGGUAGCUAAUACCGCAUACCAUCGGAUGUGCCCAGAUUGGAUUAGCUAGUAGGGGGGGUAACGGCUCACCUAGGCGACGAGUCCUAGCCGGUCUGAGAGGAUGACCAGCCAACCUGGAACCUGGACACGGUCCAGACUCCUGAGGGAGGGAACAGUGGGGAAUAUUGCAACAAGGGAGCAAGGCUUAUGGGGCCAUGGCGCGUGUAUGAAGAAGGCUUUUGGGUUGUAAAGUACUUUCAGUGAGGAGACCUUUCUCCCAGCAGAAACACCGGCUAACCCCGUGCCAGCAGCCGCGGUAAAUC
rnacentral:rRNA from 1 species